AUUGAACGCUGGCGGCAUGCUUUACACAUGCAAGUCGAACGGCAGCGCGGGGCAACCUGGCGGCGAGUGGCGAACGGGUGGGUAAUAUAUCGGAACGUACCCAGAAGUGGGGGAUAACGUAGCGAAAGUUACGCUAAUACCGCAUACGAUCUACGGAGGAAAGUAGGGGACCGCAAGGCCUUAUGCUUUUGGAGCGGCCGAUAUCUGAUUAGCUAGUUGGUGAGGUAAAGGCUCACCAAGGCGACGAUCAGUAGCUGGUCUGAGAGGACGACCAGCCACACUGGAACUGAGACACGGUCCAGACUCCUACGGGAGGCAGCAGUGGGGAAUUUUGGACAAUGGGCGCAAGCCUGAUCCAGCAAUGCCGCGUGAGUGAAGAAGGCCUUCGGGUUGUAAAGCUCUUUUGUCAGGGAAGAAACGGUAGAGGCUAAUAUCCUUUGCUAAUGACGGUACCUGAAGAAUAAGCACCGGCUAACUACGUG
rnacentral:rRNA from 1 species